GACCCACAUUUUCCCCAAUUCUCGGUUCUCUCUCAAUACUAGUCAAAAGUGGAAGUAAAGCAUUUCUCUAUCUCAAACUUUAUUAAAGUAAAAUUUCUCCUUUUUCUCACAUUAAUAUCGGUUCUCUCUCACUCUCCUCACACUACCGAUUUUCUUUCACUCUCCUCACACUACCAUCGGCUCUCUCCCUCAAAAAUCAAGAAGGAAUCGCUGCUCACAUCUCUCUCUCUUUCGCUCGAUUCCGGCGUCGCGCCGCCGCGCCGCUCCGCCUGCAAUCGCCCGCGGAAGUCGCCGCCGUCUGGAGUUGCUGCCACCGUCGCCAGCUGGAGCGUCGCCAGCGGCUGCUGCCGCUCCUGGUUCGCCGCCGCCUCUGGCGGACGCCACCGCCCCUGAGCUUUUGACGAGGCUAUAGACGUCAUUCCCUCCUUAGUUCUUUCCGCUUUCGAACUCAAGGGAUGGGUCUUCUUUCGCUGUCUUCUGGGUUCCGGCUGAGAAGGGUAGGCCGUCGCUGCUGUCCUCCUCGGAGUCGACGGGCCUGAUUCUUCACCUCGCCGUUGCUGCUUUACUCAUAUUCCGGCGAGGCAGCAAGGACUCGUCGUCGUUCCCUUGGUUCGACUGAACAGGCUGAACUCAAGAAAAAAAAAUGGAGAAGUUUAAGUUGAGCUUACCUCUUGGGGUCCAGAUUGCAGCUGAAAUAAACUCUCUAUGAUUUUUGGUGCAUAAAGGAAGGAGUAGAUUUGCUGCUGUGAUGAAGAAGGUGAAUGAGGAUGGUUUUAUACUGAACUUAUGGAGAGCUGAUUAGUGUGAAAAGAUGAUGAAUAGUACGGCUAAAUUGUAGAGCGUGGUUGAAGAAUUUAAAGAUGAGAUUUGCUGUUGACA